CCUUUCUCCAAACAACGUUGCCACACGCGGAGAGCACGGAGAUUUCUGGGGCUUUGGAGGGAAUCGUGAGCGGGCGGGAGGAGGCCGGGGACCACACAGAACUGAGAUCCAGAGAGAUGAUGACUUUGCCCAUAGACCAAACAAAGAAAUACAUGUUUCAGUCCUGUGUCCUCCUGCUAUGUGUGUCCGGAAUUGGUGGGUUCUUGGUCUCACUGACUUCAAGAAUGAAGCUGCGGACCCUCGCGGACCGUGUGUGAAUGCCUGCUCUGUGAGCCCUCAGAAUCUACUGGCUGAAUGAGUGCGUGGAGGAAAUGUGCUCAGAGCUGCUGUGUGUCAUCCUGUGUUUGAAGUGCUCCUGCAGCUAUCAUUCAUCCAGUUAAGAAUUUGAAGAAGUGUGUGCACAAAGGAUGUACCAGACUAUUAAUAUUGGUGACCAUGGGCUAGGGAGUAUGUUCUUGAUAAAUUUACAAAAUCUUCUGAUCAACUAUAGACUUUAAAAAUAUAACAUCAAUUUUUUAAUAAAAUACUCUCUCUCUCUCUCUCUCUCUCUCUCUAUAUAUAUAUAUAUAUAUAUAU
rnacentral:lncRNA from 10 species